UAAUAUGUCCUUUAAA
rnacentral:tRNA from 1 species